GACGUAGGGCGCGAGCGUUGUCCGGAUUUAUUGGGCGUAAAGAGCUCGUAGGCGGCUUGUUGCGUCGGCUGUGAAAACCCAUGGCUCAACCGUGGGCUUGCAGCCGAUACGGGCAGGCUAGAGUUCGGUAGGGGAGGACUGGAAUUCCGUGGUGUAGCGGUGAAAUGCGCAGAUAUCUGGAGGAACACCGGUGGCGAAGGCGACAUCCUGGACCGGUAUUGACGCUGAGGCGCGAAAGCCAGGGGAGCAAAGCGGG
rnacentral:rRNA from 1 species